GAUGAACGCUAGCGGCAGGCCUAAUACAUGCAAGUCGAGGGGCAGCGCGGUAGCAAUACUGGCGGCGACCGGCGCACGGGUGCGUAACACGUAUGCAACCUACCUUCAACUGGAGGAUAGCCCGGGGAAACUCGGAUUAAUACUCCAUAACACAGGGAUCCCGCAUGGGAAUAUUGUUAAAGCUACGGCGGUUGAAGAUGGGCAUGCGUUCGAUUAGCUAGUUGGUGUAGGUAACGGCUCACCAAGGCUACGAUCGAUAGGGGGUCUGAGAGGAUGAUCCCCCACACUGGUACUGAGAUACGGACCAGACUCCUACGGGAGGCAGCAGCAGGGAAUAUUGGUCAAUGGGCGCAAGCCUGAACCAGCCGUGCCGCGUGCAGGAAGAAGGCCCUCUGGGUUGUAAACUGCUUUUGAUAGGGAACAAAUGCCACUUGCGAGUGGAGCUGAGUGUACCUAUAGAAUAAGCACCGGCUAACUCCGUG
rnacentral:rRNA from 1 species